GAUGAAGAACGUAGCGAAAUGCGAUAAGUAGUGUGAAUUGCAGAAUUCAGUGAAUCAUCGAAUCUUUGAACGCACAUUGCGCCCCUUGGUAUCCCGAGGGGCAUGCCUGUUCGAGCGUCAUUUCACCACUCAAGCCUGGCUUGGUGUUGGGCGACGUCCCCUUUGGGGACGCGCCUCGAAACGCUCGGCGGCGUGGCACCGGCUUUAAGCGUAGCAGAAUCUUUCGCUUUGGAAGUCGGGGCCCCGUCUGCCGGAAGACCUACUCGCAAGGUUGACCUCGGAUCAGGCAGGGAUAUCCGCUGAACUUAAGCAUAUCAAUAAGCGGAGGA
rnacentral:misc_RNA from 1 species